GCCCUGUGACCAUGAGUUUAACGGCCGCGGUAUUUUGACCGUGCAAAGGUAGCGCAAUCACUUGUCUUUUAAAUGAAGACCUGUAUGAAUGGCAUAACGAGGGCUUAACUGUCUCCCUUUUCCAGUCAAUGAAAUUGAUCUCCCCGUGCAGAAGCGGGGAUUAAAACAUAAGACGAGAAGACCCUAUGGAGCUUUAGACAAAGAGCAGACCAUGUUAAACACACCUAAAUAAAGGACAAAACCAAUUGGCCCCUGCCCUUAUGUCUUUGGUUGGGGCGACCGCGGGGAAACAAAAAACCCCCAUGUGGACUGAAGACAUUCCUCUUCACAACCAAGAGCCACAGCUCUAAGCAACAGAACAUCUGACCAACAAGAUCCGGCACUAAGCCGAUCAACGGACCGAGUUACCCUAGGGAUAACAGCGCAAUCUCCUUUUAGAGCCCCCAUCGACAAGGAGGUUUACGACCUCGAUGUUGGAUCAGGACAUCCUAAUGGUGCAGCCGCUAUUAAGGGUUCGUUUGUUCAACGAUUAAAGUCCUACGUGAUCUGAGUUCAAACCG
rnacentral:rRNA from 1 species